rnacentral:lncRNA from 1 species
AAAUAUUGAACUUUUAACCGAUUUUCAAGGUUUCCUAAAACCAGCCUUUUAAACCUCUAACUACAGAACUUUGUAGAUUGAAAAGCCAGCCAAUUUGAACUCUAAAACUACUGAAAGAAAACCCCCUUAUGAAUUCUUAAGACACUAGACUACCUCUUCUCAGUGUUUCUCCUUGUUCCUAUGUGUGUACUCUCAGUAUUAUUCAACCCUCAAAAUCUUUCUCUUAUUCUCCGUUGAAGUCCCCUAAACUCUGUCCUAAAUCCUCUCAUUUAUACCCCAAAGCAGACCUCCUUUUCCAACCGUUCUUUUCC